rnacentral:rRNA from 12 species
GGGUAAGUUCCUUCCUGCACGAAUGGCGUAACGACUUCCCCACUGUCUCCAACAGAGACUCAGCGAAAUUGAAUUCUCCGUGAAGAUGCGGAGUACCCGCGGUCAGACGGAAAGACCCCGUGCACCUUUACUACAGCUUCGCAGUGGCGUUAGUGGCGAUAUGUGUAGGAUAGGCGGGAGGCUUUGAAACCAGAGCGCCAGUUCUGGUGGAGCCAUCCUUGAAAUACCGCCCUUAUCCUCAUUGACGUCUAACCGCGGUCCAUGAACCUGGAUCCGGGACCCUGCGUGGCGGGUAGUUUGACUGGGGCGGUCGCCUCCUAAAGAGUAACGGAGGCGCCCAAAGGUUCCCUCAGCCUGGUUGGCAAUCAGGUGUCGAGUGUAAGUGCACAAGGGAGCUUGACUGUGAGAGCGACAGCUCGAGCAGGGACGAAAGUCGGGACUAGUGAUCCGGCGGUACAUUGUGGAAUGGCCGUCGCUCAACGGAUAAAAGGUACCUCGGGGAUAACAGGCUGAUCUUGCCCAAGAGUCCAUAUCGACGGCAUUGUUUGGCACCUCGAUGUCGGCUCAUCGCAUCCUGGGGCUGGAGCAGGUCCCAAGGGUUUGGCUGUUCGCCAAUUAAAGCGGUACGUGAGCUGGGUUUAGAACGUCGUGAGACAGUUCGGUCCCUAUCCGCUGCGCGCGCAGGAAAUUUGAGAAGACCUGUCCUUAGUACGAGAGGACCGGGACGGACGAACCUCUGGUAUGGCAGUUGUACCGCCAGGUGCACCGCUGCUUCGCUACGUUCGGAAGAGAUAACCGCUGAAAGCAUCUAAGCGGGAAGCUCGCUUCGAGAUGAGAUUUCCAGACACCAUUUGGUGUGAGAGGCCCCCAGCUAGACCACUGGGUUGAUAGGCCGGAGGUGGAAGCACGAACCAACGACGUGUGCAGCCGACCGGUACUAAUAAGCCGACA